rnacentral:rRNA from 1 species
CAGCCGCCACGGGAAUACGUAGGUGGCAAGCGUUGUCCGGAAUUAUUGGGCGUAAAGGGCUCGCAGGCGGUUUCUUAAGUCUGAUGUGAAAGCCCCCGGCUCAACCGGGGAGGGUCAUUGGAAACUGGGAAACUUGAGUGCAGAAGAGGAGAGUGGAAUUCCACGUGUAGCGGUGAAAUGCGUAGAGAUGUGGAGGAACACCAGUGGCGAAGGCGACUCUCUGGUCUGUAACUGACGCUGAGGAGCGAAAGCGUGGGGAGCGAACAGGAUUAGAUACCAGUAGUCCCUGUCUCUUAUACAC